GUGGUGCUGUCAGGAGCCAAACAAGAUAUCACUCUUCACCCACCCCUGAAAGGCGGUAACAACACAACGCAGAGGAAACAGAAUAAAAGAAUAAAGACAAAGCUGGCUCACAGCUCGGGUGUAAACGGAGGCGAUCCGAGGCCGGGGGGCCAGAGGCCACUCAUCACCGUGUCACCGUCUGAUGGGCGCAGCGAUGACUCUCUGAUGGCUUCCUUGUUGAGGUGAGAAAGAAACCCUGAGAAUGAGUCCAGACAGAUCUC